rnacentral:tRNA from 1 species
AAAGGAUUAGUUAAGAAUAAUACUAACUUGUCAAGUUAGAGUCAUCAUAAAUGAUAUCCUUUU